rnacentral:rRNA from 1 species
GACGAACGCUGGCGGCGUGCUUAACACAUGCAAGUCGAACGGAAAGGCCCUGCUUUUGUGGGGUUCUCGAGUGGCGAACGGGUGAGUAACACGUGAGUAACCUGCCCUUGACUUUGGGAUAACUUCAGGAAACUGGGGCUACUACCGGAUAGGAGCUCCUGCUGCAUGGUGGGGGUUGGACAUUUUCGGCGGUUGGGGAUGGACUCGCGGCUUAUCAGCUUGUUGGUGGGGUAGUGGCUUACCAAGGCUUUGACGGGUAGCCGGCCUGAGAGGGUGACCGGCGACAUUGGGACUGAGGUACGGCGCAGAGUCGUACGGGAGGCAGCAGUGGGGAAUAUUGCACAAUGGGGGGAAGCCUGAUGCAGAAACGCCGCGUGCGGGAUGACGGCCUUCGGGUGGUAAACCGCUUUCGCCUGUGACGAAGCGUGAGUGACGGUAAUGGGUAAAGAAGCACCGGCUAACUACGUG